UACAGAGGUCUCAAGCGUUGUUCGGAUUCAUUGGGCGUAAAGGGUGCGUAGGCGGCGCGGUAAGUCGGGUGUGAAAUCUCGGAGCUUAACUCCGAAACUGCAUUCGAUACUGCCGUGCUUGAGGACUGGAGAGGAGACUGGAAUUUACGGUGUAGCGGUGAAAUGCGUAGAUAUCGUAAGGAAGACCAGUGGCGAAGGCGGGUCUCUGGACCAACACUGACGCUGAGGAGCGAAAGCCAGGGGAGCAAACGGG
rnacentral:rRNA from 1 species